rnacentral:ncRNA from 1 species
GGAUGCGCGCCGCUUUGAGGUGCUUUCCUGCUUGCAGGUAAGUUAAACGGGAAACAGGUGAAAUACCUGUGCUGCCCCCGCAACGGUAAAUAAGUGUGGGUUUGUCAUCAUGCCACUGUGAGCAAUCAUGGGAAGGCGACAGAUCAAAACUUGUGAGCCCGGAUACCGGCCUGAUUGCAUACGAGCAG